rnacentral:rRNA from 1 species
GGACAAGCCUAGCGCUUAGGCUCAACAGGAUGGUUGCUAGCAAUAGUGAUCGUCUUCUACCCACAAGCUGUUGAGCGGUGCAGCGUUACAAACCGUAAUGUUUAGUAAUCACCAUUGGUAGUUGGUCCUCACGGGCCAACUACUCUUAGCCUAGCAUGCAAGUUCCAUUGACUUGGACUAAUUGCAAAUGACCUAGUGUUUGGGGCAACUUGAGCACUUGGUUGAGCCAGAGUGGGUGAAAGCCCUAUACCGUGCAGGCAUUGGUGUUACGGAUUGCGGAGGGCCGCAAGGUCCGCUUUGUUAGAGUCGAGUUGCUUGAGAGUGCAACUUAAAGUGCGAGGUAAACUACUCGUAAGGCUACGCAAUACGGCUACGACACCGAUAGCAAACAAGUACCGUGAGGGAAAGUUGAAAUAGAACUUUGCAGAGAGAGUUAAGAGGGCGUGAAACCGUUAAUUGGCAAACGAAUCGGAGCCACGAAGUCGUUUCGCUGGUUUAGUUGGCCUGAGUUCAGCUAGCCUCCACCCGGAGGCUAGUGUAUUCUCGUGUGACUAACCAUCUGUAAGCGUACACUGCAACCAGUUAGACAAUUGACAAUGGGCACAGUUGGCUAGACGCCGGGGCAACUCGGCGACUAGUCAGCGCAGCAUCUGUUUGCUCGGGUUAGUAGUAGCGCUGCGAGUCUCGUACUCGUUGGUGUUGCUGGGCUCGCGGCAAGUGAACUAUCGUCAAAUACUGACUGGCACAAUGAAAAUCGCUCCACCAUGGAUGCGUAACACAGAAUGCAGCAUACUGCAUGUCUGGCUACACAAGUGACCGUGCGCUCCCAAGUUCGGCAUCUUCGAAUUUGGACCUGCUUGCUACCAAUGGGGCAACCCUUGGUGCUUGUACGGCUUCCAUCUAAUCAGCUGUCGACUUGAGCGUACGUAGUUUGCCUGUGCUACGUUCAGCCAGGCAUGUAUGCGUGCUUGCCAUU